UUUUUCACCUUGCAGUAUAAAACGUGGCAGCUCCCGCAGUGAAACCCUAGCCGCCUCUCCACCCUCCCCCAAUCCCGUCCACCUCGUCCCUUUCUCUCCCCCAAUCCCCACGUUCCUCUCUCUCCCAAUCCCCCAAUCUCCUCAAGACUCACUCCAUUUGUUGGUUUUCUCCAUGAUGGAGCGGGGGGAGGUGAAGGGAAGUAGGGCAGCAUGGUUGAGAAGGUGGAGAUCAACGUGGAGAAGCACCUGAUAGCCACUCUCCCUUUAUUCCCUGCCAUGGACUAGCUCAUCCUUCCCCACUGCAAGAAUAGUUUCAAUUGGAGGAAGAAGAAGAGGUGAUAAGAAGAGGAGAAAGAGGAUGCGAAGGAAGAAGAGAAAAUCCCCACCUUCCUUUCAGAUCCCUCUUGAUCCAGAUCCAAGGGUAUCUGGUCCGUAGGUUCCUCGAUAGGUAACUGUCCGGAGGAAAGAUGUCGGGAUGAAGUAGUCGAGAAAGGUAUGAAGUCACGCUGCAGCCAUGGAUUCUCCGCCCCAGGUUUCUCUACAGCGCGUCGGGAUGAUGUAUUCGCCUUCGUCGCACCACCGGUGUGUGCAUAAGCCAUUUGUGUAAAUUCAUAAAGGCAAAGAUCGCUCCGGGAAGAAAUGCUAACACCUCAACUUGGAUUUGUAACUUGCGUGUUCUCUCAGAUGCAUUCCUCUUGAUGAUUUACAUGAGUUUCAACAUGGAUUUCUUAGUUUAUAUUAAUCACAUGUUCUAGAACUUCAAGAAAUGAAGCCUUUUUGUAUAUUCUAAUGGCUUUUCUAAUUAUUUUUAUCAGUGAUGAUGAAGUGGAAUAUUUUAUCAUGCAAGAUAGUGGACUAUAAGGUUGGACAGUUUUAAUAAACUUUGAUAGUUAGGUAUCUCAACUUCAAGAAUUUGUUGGCCAAAUUAUUCUUAUGUUCGAUAUGAUGUGUGGUACUGGUAGUAGAUGAAGUUUUUCUUACUUUGCACGAUCUCCAGUAUGCAAUUCUUACCUUUCUAUAUGACUAUGUAAGUAAUAGAUUAAAAAAUAUAUAAUGAUACCAUCACCAUCUACCUAACCUAAAUAUAGUCUUUAAAAGUGUUUUCAAAGAUAGAGAAGUUUUAUCGCAUGCUUUCUAGAGUGUCAUCUAUUUUAGAACAGAGGGACUCUCAGGUUUCAUAAUAGCUAAAGUCUCCAUCGGUUUGUUCUUGAAAUAUCUCUCUCCGGCCCUUUAGUUAUCUGAGCUUCAUAGGUUUGUUCUUGAACUAUCUCUCUCCGGCCACAACCACGGUGUGCAGGUUCUUACCAUUGAUAUCGGGAUGGAAAUGUAAAGCGCUUGAACAACCUUGAUGGAGGCUGAUAUUUGCUCCACCUAGAGUCAUGUUUUAUGCAUCGUGUACUGAACAAUGUAUUCUUUCAAUCUAACUAAACAUAAGUAUAAUUAUUUAGAACCUUGUUCUGAAUUGGUUUCUAUAUAUGUUCGCUAAUAUAUUCAUAUCUUAAAUAACCACAUUUAGCUUGAUGGCGCCCACGGAUGAGAAGAACGAUCACAGCAUGCCAUGUGCAUAUGGCACCGGAGUUAUUUGCUUACAUUGCAUGAUGAGGGGCCAUGUCUGGAAGUUCGCGGCAUUGGAUCUGUCGACGUCCCUCGCGGAGCAGCAGUCGGGAUGGCAAUCCUGCUGGUCGCAGAGGAUCAGCGUCGGCCAGCUGACAUCAGGGAGGAGCUGCGGUAACGACCGGGCAGCAGGGAGGGGCCGCCAAAGUGACUGGGUGACAUGGACCUGUGGCAUAGGAGCAGCUGCAGUUCAACUAUGGCGUCUCAGCUCUUUCUGGCGAAGUACGGCUAUUUGUCGGGUCAGAUCUCUAUAAAUUAGGCGGAAAUAGAUUUUCGUCUGAGUUCUGUUACAAGGAUCAGUGAUAUAUCCCCUACCGGGUUGAACAAAGCUAUGGAUAUGCAAGUAGAGGCAGAAAGGAGAAAGAGUGCUCAGGUUCUCAAGUCUAGAGGUGCUAUGUUGAAUCAGGCCAAUGACACGAAGGAAGCUACUCCCAGGUGUUCAUUGUGCUGAUUAAGAGCAGGGCUCACUGGAUGUCUGCGAGUAGAUUAUCCCCAGAUAAGUAUAGGAUGCAUCUGAUUAUUUUAACUAUGGUGAAUACACCGAAUUAUUAGAUUGAGUAUUUUUCUUGAGUUUCGACAGCUGGGGCAUUGGUCUCUCUUAUGGGGUAACAGACCGGAUCAACGACAUAGAUAAGGUUCUACAGGAGAUUAGGCCCUAAUCUAUUGGUCCAGGUUUUUCAUUUCUCUCUGCUCUCUUGGUUCAGUCCCUGAUCAAGGCCAGGGCGCCGUGGAUCUCAUGCUCAAGGUAAGGAUGAAAUCAGUGCAUGUAUGUUUCUGGAAAUGUGUUUAAAAUAACCAAACAGUGUAAUAAUUUAUGCCAUGAUUCAACGAGUUUUCUUCCAUUAAUGGGUGUCGAUUUAGUAACAAUGAUAUUAAACACAAUUUACAGCUAUAUUUUGAAUGUAGUUUAUCUCAUUUGGCUCUGUUCUUGGAGAUAUAUUACCAACAGGUAGAAAUGUUAUGACCAUAUUAUCAUUUCAGAUUGCAUAUACUAUAUCCUACAAGAAUCCUUUUGAUGGAUUUGGUAUUCGAUUCGAAACCAAAGAACAUACAUUCUUACUUUGUACAUGCGUUUUUUAAAGAUUUUCAGUUGUUUGCUAUCAUAUCUAAACAAAUGGAUGCUUAUCUUAUUUUGUCCAGAGAGAGUGCUAUACCUGUGUUGCAUAGAAAACUCACUCCUUCACUGGAGGAAUGAGCGGUUGAGGAGCUCCUCUUCACCAGCAGCAAGAUGGAUAUAUUUUCCGCUCUUUGCAGUACACAGUACCACACAUGUCUUUUCAAGAAGCAAUUUUUCUCGAAAACUCCAAUGGCAGAAAAAAUGCAAGCUGGAACAGGCUGAUGCUAUGAGCAUUAGAUGUUUUAGCUACGAUGCACCAGGUAAAAAAUAGAAUGUGCUUUUGCACUGAUUGGAGGUGUCUCGAGAAAAUAGAGAAAUUAUAUUUGUUUUGUAGACCCUUUCUUUGGGUGAAAGUUUUGAUGAAAACAAAGAAAUUGUAUCCCUUUUAUCCGUAUACAAUGACAGUGAAAGGUACAUAAUAGAAGCAUUGCAUUUCUAUGCCGCAGAUGGGGCUGGUAAUUUGUCGCUCAUAUGGUCAUAUUCUUAAUAUCGAAGAUAGUUUCAUGUU